CCUGACUGCUAUCGGAUUGAUACUAAGCCAUGCGAGUCAUUGUAGUAAUACAAGGCAGACGGCUCAGUAACGCGUAGUCAACCUACCCUAUGGACGGGAAUAACCUCGGGAAACUGAGUAUAAUGCCCGAUAGAACACUAUACCUGGAAUGGUUUGUGUUCCAAAUGAAUGUCGCCGUAGGAUGGGACUGCGGCCUAUCAGUUUGUUGGUGAGGUAAUGGCCCACCAAGACUAUUACAGGUACGGGCUCUGAGAGGAGUAGCCCGGAGAUGGGUACUGAGACACGGACCCAGGCCCUAUGGGGCGCAGCAGGCGAGAAAACUUUGCAAUGUGCGAAAGCACGACAAGGUUAAUCCGAGUGGUUUGUGCUAAACGAACCUUUUGACAGUCCUAGAAACACUGUUGAAUAAGGGGUGGGCAAGUUCUGGUGUCAGCCGCCGCGGUAAAACCAGCACCUCAAGUGGUCAGGAUGAUUAUUGGGCCUAAAGCAUCCGUAGCCGGCUCUGUAAGUUUUCGGUUAAAUCUGUACGCUCAACGUACAGGCUGCCGGGAAUACUGCAGAGCUAGGGAGUGGGAGAGGUAGACGGUACUCGGUAGGAAGGGGUAAAAUCCUUUGAUCUAUUGAUGACCACCUGUGGCGAAGGCGGUCUACCAGAACACGUCCGACGGUGAGGGAUGAAAGCUGGGGGAGCAAACCGGAUUAGAUACCCGGGUAGUCCCAGCUGUAACUAUGCAAACUCAGUGAUGCAUUGGC
rnacentral:rRNA from 1 species